UACAGAGGUCUCGAGCGUUAGGCGGAAUCACUGGGCUUAAAGCGCGUGUAGGCGGAUCGUUAAGUACCUUGUGAAAUCCCACGGCUUAACCGUGGAACUGCUGGGUAUACUGGCGGUCUUGUGCCAUCUAGGGGCCUGCGGAACAAACGGUGGAGCGGUGAAAUGCGUAGAUAUCGUUUGGAACGCCAAUGGUGAAGGCGGCUCACUGGUCCAUUACUGACGCUGAGGUGCGAAAGCGUGGGGAGCAAACAGG
rnacentral:rRNA from 1 species